AAAAAAACUCCGAGUCAUACGGCCUAAAGCGAAAGCCACGGCCGUGUGACCGGGGUGCAGCCGGAAACAGCUGCGCCUUCCGUUUUUGAAAAGGAGUAUAAAAUGA
rnacentral:ncRNA from 1 species